rnacentral:miRNA from 1 species
GCCCCUUUUAUGUUGUACUACU